GGCUCAGGACGAACGCUGGCGGCGUGCCUAACACAUGCAAGUCGAGCGAGGAGAUCCUCGGGAUGAUCCUAGCGGCGGACGGGUGAGUAACACGUGGGCAACCUGCCUCAUAGAGAGGAAUAGCCUUCCGAAAGGGAGAUUAAUACCUCAUAACAUUGCAGUUUCGCAUGAAACAGCAAUUAAAGGAGCAAUCCGCUAUGAGAUGGGCCCGCGGCGCAUUAGCUAGUUGGUGAGGUAACGGCUCACCAAGGCGACGAUGCGUAGCCGACCUGAGAGGGUGAUCGGCCACAUUGGGACUGAGACACGGCCCAGACUCCUACGGGAGGCAGCAGUGGGGAAUAUUGCACAAUGGGGGAAACCCUGAUGCAAGCAACGCCGCGUGAGUGAUGACGGCCUUCGGGUUGUAAAGCUCUGUCUUCAGGGACGAUAAUGACGGUACCUGAGGAGGAAGCCACGGCUAACUACGUGCCAGCAGCGGC
rnacentral:rRNA from 1 species